GCAACGAAUCAAACACUGUCUGUGCUCCUCAUCUAUAUAUAUAUAUACAGGGAAAGAGAGUUGUCGUUCCUCAGGUUCAUCGCACAUUGGUAGGGUUUCACAGCACACCGUUCCAGCGUUUUGGGUUCGUAUGUCUGCGCCUCACGGCUUGCCGUCUUAGGAACCAUGCUACAGGCAACACUGACUGCCCGGCUGUUCUCGAAGCCCAUUGCUCAGGGGUACGUGGCGCAGCUGCCAAAGCCACAGCCGGGGCCUAAGGGGCGUGCCUGGAUGCGGGCGAUGGAUGCCAACAGUGACGUGCGCGACUUCUACACCGCAGACAAGGAGCGCUAUAAUACAUGGUACAGGGAGACCUACGGUAUCGAAGACCUCUCCGACGGCUCUGCUGCGUCUGGAGCUGCAUCGAACCGGCUUCUGGACGACACCCGCAACAUACAGCAGGCGGCAGAGGAGUACGACUUGCGAGCCGUAAGGGAGGAGCUCGAAUUCUGGGGUCAAGAGUUCCAGCACGUUACGCAGCUCCGCUAAGGGGAUUGGUAGCAGUAUGGCGGAGGGGGAGGGAGGGGGAGGCUGCAGCCUGCCUAUGUUUCCUGUGUAAUCCUUUUGUGCUGUAGCUGCGUGACACUCAAAGAACAAGCCAAGGAGGGAGGGCGUGUGUGCUGACGUGAAGCUCUGCCUUCCUCUGUUUUUUUUUUUUCGCCUCGUCCAAUCUCCGAGGGUAGAGAGGCGCGGAGAUGCGCUCCACUACCGCCGCUGCUGCUGGUUGCUUUUUUCGAUUUGUUUACAUCCGGGUUGGAAGAAAGUUUUGGUUGUUGAUGGACCUUUGCCGGGAAGGUCGUGUGGGGUUUCCUGUUCAUCGCUAAGGGGAUCAGCUCACAGGGGGGGGGUGGAUGGGGAGGCGGCAAAAGCGGUGGCGAGAGUCGAUUACACUUCUCCUGCAUCUAGUUCCUCCCUUCUGUGUGUGUACCCCUCGCUCUCCCUCGAAAGGGUGUCGUCCACGCGCGCUGUUCCCAUACUUUGCGCUGUGUGCUUUCAUCACCCUGCGUUCCCAUCUGCUUCCAGCAGCGCUUCACUGAGAUACCCACCGAUACAGAAAGAGAAACCAAGAAUGUAUCAGAUUUAUUGCGGAUGAGGGUCGCAACGAGGAACAGAUAGGAGAGAGCGACUGUGGAGCGCAUGAGGGAUUUCGCGUCUCCAUCGAAAAGAAACCGAUCAGAACACAAAGACAUGAAC
rnacentral:misc_RNA from 1 species